GAUGAUAAGAUGAAUGACUGUUAGAGAUGGAAGGGACUCAGAGAGCCUCUGAACUGCUUUCUAAAUUCACAGAUUGAAAAUCUAAAACCCACAGAGUUCAAAGACCUUACUCAAAGUCAAAGAGCUAGUGGGUGGUCAAGCUUACAUUAAUUCUAGAUUUGUCUAGAUUGAUGGAUUCUGCAUUCUACCAUCUAAGAUUAAAAUUUGACUGGAAGAAUACUCUAGAUGUUCAGUCAAAAGCUAAAGGUUAAAAUUUGCAUGAAAUAACUCAUGAAUUCUAUUUCCAUUGUUUCAACUGAAAAUUAUUUGCAAAAUAAAUGUGCGUGUACAUUAUAAAUUUGAUUGGCAAUAUUGAUUUAAAACGGAGGUUAUCAAUAUUUUUUAAGUACAAGGUGUCAGAAUUGUAUUGAACUCCUAAAAGAAUAAACCCAAAAUAAGUUUUAAAAUAUGACCAAAAUUUGAUAUUAAAAUCACAGAAAAGAGUAAUAGAACCCUGGAUUGAGAAUAAAAAUGACUGUAUUCUGCCUUAGAAUGUACUCCUUUAAAUGAACAGUAAUUCCUUGAAGAAGUCUCUGUGCAUAUCUAAAUUUAAUUUUCUUCAUUGCACACUAAGCUUCUGAUAGUUGCUUUUGGGGAUCGAUGAAUCGCUUGAGAAUCUCUGAUUGGGCAAAAGGCCUAAGUGUCUAUAAGAAGCUGAGGAGCUGGAGUGGGAGCAGAAACGUCUGGCAGGGUGAAUGGAGGUGAGGAAGAGGCAGAGGACUGAAGGAGGAUAUAGCAAAGGAUGCCAAAAGCCAAAUGGAAGAUCAAAGGUGGUAAAAAGAAAAGGUGGAAAAGCAGAGCUGGAAGAAGUGGGAUUAAUCCAUAUGGUAAAGAAGAAAAUAUAGAUAUUUGGACCGAAGAGGUUAAAAAAGUCAAUGGAUGACACCAUUCUCUGAAGAAAAUUAAAGAGGAAUCCAAACUCAUUGUAUGAGGCCAGCAUUACGCUGAUACCUGAUCCACAGAAGGACACUAGAAGAAAAGAAAAUCACAGGCUAAUUUCCUUGAUGAACAUAGAUGCAAGGAUCCUCAACAAAAUACCAGCAAACCAAAUUCAACAGCACAUUAACAGUGUCACACAUGAGCAACUGGAAUUUAUCCCUGGGACGGAAGGAUGGUUCAACACUGGCCUAUUGUUUUUAAGGCUUUCUGGCUCUGGAAACUGUAAACUCUUGCCUCCAAAAUGACCUCAGGAGUCUCCCAGGAAUUACAGGAGACUAUUCCAAGGUGCAAUAAUUUAUCUCUCAAAGAGAUAAAAGUUUAAUUUUAAUUUUUCUUUCUUCUGCUUUACUGAAUUAAUUUAUGAAAAUUC
ensembl:lncRNA novel transcript